ensembl:miRNA
AGGGUGGCAGGGCCACAACCAGUGCAGACUGGCGCGCCCCAGGGAUCUCUGGGCGAGGAUCUCUCUGAGCGCCUCACUCUCAAGCAUGACUGGGAGGCCUCUGUGCCUUCCAAGGGGCUCCCCUC